UGCCGAAACCCGGGAUCGAACCAGGGACCUUUAGAUCUUCAGCCUAACACUCUCCCAACUGGGCUAUUUCGGC
rnacentral:tRNA from 1 species